CUUCAGAACCUUCUGGAGUGCUGGUUUGGUGUUCAUGAAUUUCUUCAGGUAUUCUUUAUCAUGGAAGUAUAUUAUUUUUCCAUCAAUUUUGAGAGAUAAUUUUCUGAGGUACAUUAGUGUGUGUUGAAGGUUGUUUUCUUUUAGGGCUUGAAGUACUUCAGGCUCUCCUUGAUUUAAGGGUUUAAAUUGAGAAGUCUGCUGUGGUUUUUGCUUCUACAUGAUUUGUGUCUUUUCUCUAACAGCUUUUAGUGUUCUGUUCUUGUGUUGAAUUUCUGGAAUCUUGACUAUUACAUGCCUUGGUGUAAUUUUUUGCAGAUCAUGACUAUUUGGAGUUCUGUAUGCCUCACUUUUCUGUAUCUCAAAUUCUUUCUCUAUGCCUAGAAAGUUUUCUGCUAUUACUUCUGUGAAUGGGUUUUUUAAUGCCCUUUGUUCUAUCUUAUUCUUCAUUGAUUCCAAUUAAUAUUAUAUUAGUCAUCUUUGCAUCAUCUGGCAACUAUUGGAUUGAUUUUUUUCAUGACCCCUUGCUAUUUUUAAGAAGUCUUUUAUUUGAUGAGCACCAAUCACAACCCUGUCUUCUAGAUCUGAUAUUCUGACUUCACAUUUGUUCACUCUGCUGUGUAUACUUACAGUAGAAUUUUUAAUCUCUUGGAUUUUUAUUUGAGUCUGUUUUAUGGAAUCCAUUUCUUUUCUGUGUUGGGCAUUCAUGGUUCCCUUGUCUUUUCUAAGCUCCUCUAUUUUUUUUUUAAUCUGUGUCUACUCUAGAUUUACUAAUCAUUCCUUUCAUUAUGGUCAUCAUCAUCUCUUUUUUUUUGGUACUGGGGAUUGAACUCAGGACCUUGCACUUGCAAGGAAGGCGGCAACACCACUGAGCUAAAUCUCCGGCCCAUCAUCUCUUUAACUAUCGAUUUUGUUUUUGUCCAGAGACUUACUGAUCUGUUUUGUUACUUCUCCUGCUACCAUUUCAUGAAAUUCAGCUGGAUAGCUUUUGAUUUCUUCCUCCUCAAUGACUCCUUGAUUUGCCUUAGGGGUCGAACUUGGGACCUUCUGCUUGCAAGAAUUCUAACACUGGAUCCCACAGCUACCCAUCAGGGCUGGUGUCAUGAAACAUGAACAGCCUUAUGCAGGGCUGCACAGUUCAGCAGUGCAGACAAAACAGCUCAAGGACAAAGGGAAGGAAAGAAGAGAAGGUUUCCAGAGAUGAAGCAUAGAAAACACACUCCACACACAGUUCUCUUGGGGAGGAAAUCACCGGAGCUGGAAGAGUGAAAGAAGAAGCAGAAGCAGCAUUGGGCAGAUGCUCCUUGACUCCCAAGAGCUGGUUGAGGAACAUCCAAGCGAAAUGUUCAGAGGUAGGAAAGAUACUUGUGCACACUAGAAUCUUAAUAUAUCAUUCUUUAGGCAACAUAGUGUCCUACAGACUUUGGGGAGCCAAGGUUUUACAUUAGGCCUUCAAGCUCUCUGCAACCUUUAAUUAGAGUUUUGGCGCUGACUGAUACCUCCUAGGCUGGUGUUUGCAAGGUCAGCCCUGUGGGUCUCUCCCUGCUCCACUAGGUACACUGCUUGCCAUCUGUAGUUGCCACUUGAUAUCAACACUGAUCCUUGGGCCUUGUAACUCCAAAGUCAGGGCUACUCCAGUGUCCCACAUCACAUCCUGGAGCCAAGGAGGUCAGGGUUCUGUUCUCUAAUGAAGAACUAAGUUUGCUAUCAAUAUGAAAAACUAAGUAGAUAGCACACAGCCCACAAGAAAUAAUGGAUUUUUUUAAAUUCUAUUAAAGCCCAAAAUUUAAUCUCAUUUGGUUAAAGCUAUCCAGCCCCACCUCAGAGGAAGGAAGACUCCCCAGCAACUCUCACCCCUGUGGCCAGGUCAUAUUCCAGCCCCUGAUCUGACUUCACAGGAUCUCAAAAGGCCAGCUGCUUAGCCUCUGGGAGUAGCCAAAGCCCCAGAGGAGAAGGAGCCUGUCAGUCUGUUCUGUGGUACUGUAACUACACAGUGGGUAAUUUAGGAAGAGAUUUCCUUCUCACAGUUACGGGGUUGGAAGGCCCAGUAUCAAGGUGCCAGCGGCCCCUUGCUACUGCAUCCCAUUGCAGAAGGACAGACAGAGGGCAAAAGGAAGCCACUCUAAAAGUCCUCUUAACCAUUGGACAGUUUACCCCAGUCAUCACUUGGAUAACGCAUUUGUUUACAUACUGACUAUCCCGAGUGUCACUCAGGCAGGUGUCAUUUCAGCCAGUCAAUUCUUGUAUUGAAUAAAUUUGAUAAAAUUGUCAUAUUUGUAUUUCCUGUUUUAUUAUAAAAAUUAAUGAAAAAUAUGCAACUUUUGGUUAUUUCAUAUUUAAAUAAUUGGACUGGUAAGUGGUUAAAGGCAUUUAACCACCCAUUAGGCCCUGCUGCAGUGGCAGUUAAACAUGAA
ensembl:lncRNA